GACCAGACUCCUACGGGAGGCAGCAGUGGGGAAUAUUGGGCAAUGGGCGCAAGCCUGACCCAGCAAUGCCGCGUGAAGGAAGAAGGCUUUCGGGUUGUAAACUUCUUUGACAGGGGAAGAGCAGAAGACGGUACCUGACUAAGAAGCCCCAGCUAACUACGUGCCAGCAGCCGCGGUAAUACGUAGGGGGCAAGCGUUAUCCGGAUUUACUGGGUGUAAAGGGAGCGUAGACGGCAUGGCAAGUCAGAUGUGAAAGCCCGGGGCUCAACCCCGGGACUGCAUUUGAAACUGUCAGGCUGGAGUGCAGGAGAGGUAAGCGGAAUUCCUAGUGUAGCGGUGAAAUGCGUAGAUAUUAGGAAGAACACCAGUGGCGAAGGCGGCUUACUGGACAGUAACUGACGUUGAGGCUCGAAAGCGUGGGGAGCAAACAGGAUUAGAUACCCGAGUA
rnacentral:rRNA from 1 species